UUUUUAUUGAAGCAUUACGGAGGAAUUGUGCCUAAAUAAUUGUAUUCGGUCCGAAAAAAAUUGGUGACGGGGAGGGAGGUCGACACGAAUGUUGGAUCAUGACGCCCUUUCAUUUUCAUUGGUGCCCUUUUGUUAUGGAGUAUGCCCUUUUGUUAACCAAUUGCACCCCUUGCCCUCAGCAACUUCCGGCAUCCCUGAUCACCGUUCUAGCGCGCGUGUUUUAUACUGACAGCUAUAUUCCAGGAUAAAUUGCAACCACGAGGUUGGAUAAAUUGUUAUUUUUCAAACUUUAAAAGUUAUUCACGACACAUAUUUCUGUUGUGAUGGUUUGUAUUGUGCUUGUAUCUAA